UCCGCACUUGGUUGAUUCCACCUCUUGUGUCUAACUCGAGGUGUCCGGAUCUGUCCUAUCACACGGACGCUCCGCCGGAGUGUAGAGCUGGCCGGCUCGGCCGCGCUCUGCAUUUGUGCCUCAUCUGUCGAUUUCGCCUCUUGCGCAGCUGUUAGAUUAAUUUGUCUGGUUCAGUGGUUGCCUCUGCCCUGCGGCCGUUGCCGUACUUCACCUGGGCGGUCCAAUGUCUGUUCAUCGUUCUUGCCGCCUUGACAGUCAUUUGCUUUGCAUCAGGUUGCUUCCUUGCCCGUCCUUUGCUUUGCAUCAGGUUGCUUCCUUGCCCGUCCUUUUCUUUACAUCAGGUUGAACCGUUGAGGUGUUUUUUGGCAGCCCACUCUGUUUUGCUUCUGCUCUGCGGCCAGGGAGCCGUCGACAUCAUUGUCUGUUAAUGCUCCACAUCGGCUAGCAGGUUAGAAGUGCAAACAUGGGGAUUUCAUCGAUCAAGGAUGUGUCGGGCCCAAGCUACCGGUGGAAAGACGUUUUGCUCAUUGCAUGGUUCUAGGAAUAAAAGGAUCAAGAAACAAAUCAAAAUUUAUAUAAGUUGGACUUCACUUUGUUGGCCGUGAGGUUUAGUCGUCCCCGUGGAAGUUGUGGUCGAUGAUGAAGGCGGCAGCGUCUUCCCGGCCGCGGUGAACGGGCAUGGUUUUGUCCUCCUUGGUGCCUGUCGUAAGCUGAGUUCUCUGUCCUGGCGAUGAGGAGGGGCGAGCUGCGGAU